rnacentral:rRNA from 1 species
GAGAAAGACAAAGAUUACCUGGGGAACUGAAACAUCUAAGUACCUAGCGAAAAAUAAAUUAGAUUCCGUAAGUAGUGGCGAGCGAACGCGGAAACUACAAGACGGAUUUGGAACGUCCGGCCAAAGAAGGUGAAAGCCCUGCAAAUAAACUGUAUUAAGUAAGACCGUGGGUCUGAAUAAGGGGACACCGCUCUCCUAACAAUUAAACACAAGAAUACGAUAGUGUACUAGUACUGUAAAGGAAAGCUGAAAGACAACUCAUGAUCUGGGAGUUAAAAGAUGCUGAAACCCCAAAAUGUUCCAGCCAUAUUGGCGUACCUUUUGUAUAAUGGGCUAACAACUUAAUGUGUGUAGCAAGCGUAAUGCAAAGGACGCGUAGCGAAAGCGAGUUUUAAUUGAGCGAAAAGUUACAUGCGUUAGACCCGAAACCGAGUGAUCUAGUCGUGGGCAGGUUAAAGGGUUGACUGAAGGACCGAACCCUAGGAUGUGGCAAAAUCCAGGGAUGACCCGCGGCUAGGGGUGAAAGGCCAAUCAAACUCGGAGAUAGCUGGUUUUCUGCGAAAUCUAUUUAAGUAGAGCGUUAUCGAUAAAAUGGGGGUAGGGCUCUGGACUCUUGAUGGGGGCGCAAGCUUUACUGACAGUGUUUAAACCUUGAAUACCAUGAUAGCAGACAGGCUGCGGGUGAUAAGAUCCGUAGCCAAGAGGGAGACAGCCCAGACUGUAGGAUAAGGUUCUUAACGAUAACUAAGAUAAAGGCAGCUACUGCUUAGACAACCCUAAUGGUGGGCUUAGAAGCAGCCAUCCAUUAAAGAGGUCGUUAAAGAUCAUGGGACUAGCUACUAGUUGCCGAAAAUUUUGAAGUAGAGUUUUCGUCCGAAGCCACAGUGUUUAAGGUAGCAGAAUGCUCGUAAAGGACCAUAUAAAAACCACAAUUGUGUGUGUUUAUUGUAAUCGGUUUGAAAAAAUCGGUGAACUUUUGCGAGGUAACAAUGUUAGCAUGAGUAACUAAAAAUAUUGUGCGAACCAAUAUCACCGAAAGCCCGAGGUUUUCCCCAAAAGGACAAUCCUAGGGGUGUGAAACGGUUCCUAAGAGUAGAUUCGAAAGAAUCUUCUCGAUGG